rnacentral:rRNA from 1 species
UACGAAGGGGGCUAGCGUUGCUCGGAAUCACUGGGCGUAAAGCGCACGUAGGCGGCUUAUUAAGUCAGGGGUGAAAUCCCGAGGCUCAACCUCGGAACUGCCUUUGAUACUGGGGAUCUUGAGUCCGGGAGAGGUGAGUGGAAUUGCGAGUGUAGAGGUGAAAUUCGUAGAUAUUCGCAAGAACACCAGUGGCGAAGGCGGCUCACUGGCCCGGUACUGACGCUGAGGUGCGAAAGCGUGGGGAGCAAACAGG